UAUAUAUUACUACCUUAUUUAAACUAUUUGCUUCCCAGAUGUGCAGGUCUUUGCACAAAGCACAAGUCUCUUAUGCCCUGAACACACAAAAGGAGCACGCUCUGCUAGAUUUCCCUUUAAUUUUGUUUUUCUGUGGUAGUUUUAUGACCCUGUGCCCAGCUUCUUUAUAGACUCACCUCUCACAGGACACAAUUCUCUUUAAUGUUUUCCAUGCUUAUAGAAAGAAAUACUGUGUUAGCAAACACCAGAAGAAAUUUUCUUUUAGCUGCAUGACUUUCUAUUGGUUGGAUAGAGAGAGAAGACCCUUAAAGUGUUUCUACAGAACUGCCUAAAGUGUCUUUUUGACUGAUGUCUUUUGUGGUUUUAAAAUAUUUCUUGACAAUAUUUCUGGGGUAAAGGCUUUUGAUUCUUUUAUGAAUAUAGAAGAUAUUGAAAUCAAAAAAUUGGAAUUAUAUCUAGGAAAAGUUGCCAGUUUCCAUGGUGGGGGUAAGAAGUUAUUCAGGCAGAGGAGUCUCAUGUACAACUGGUGUCUAAAGAUUAAACUGGCGCAGGCUAGAUCCAGAGACAUCUACCUUUCCACAAUGUUUUUCCAGACUGCUCUCACCGUGAUAUUUUUCAGCUCCCAUAACUUAUUUUAUAAUAUAUAAGCGAGAAUGGACAGGUGAGUCAAAAUAAAAUGCUUUUAGCAGCAAGUAUAGAAUAAUUUGCCCUGAUGGAACAGCAAUGACAGCAAUGGUUGAAAUUACCAUGAAAGAAAAAGAUCUUGGAUAUGUUUUCUUCCCUGUGGAGGAGUUAGAACUCUUCAGGUUUUGUUCAUCUUGAGGUUCCAAGUACAGCUUUUGUUUCAAGGAAUGCUAGUGUUCCAAGGAACAGAAUUUGGGAAACACGAAGUUAAGUGAUUAGUAAGAGGUCAUCAAGUUAGAAUAUAGGCUAGAGCAGCAGGUAGCAAGAAUGACAGUGGAGACCCAGUUUUUAAUACCUUCAAGAAUAGAAUAGAGAGUUGUCCAUGUUCUUCCCUCUGAAACAUGAUUUUCAAUGGAGGUUGUCCCUGAUGGGGUGGAGAAGAAUCUCUGCUGGGUUUGGUCAAAUGCCUUUUCUACCUCAAUUGAGAUGAUUCUAAGUUUUUGUCUUUCAGUUUGUUAGCAUAAUGAAUUCCAUUGGCUAAUUUUCUAAUGCUAAGCUGACUAUGCCCUCCUGGGAUAAGACCCACUUGCAUGAUGAUAUCUUCUUAACAUCUUGUUAGAUUUGAUAAGAUGUUCCGGAAAAUUUACCCUAAAGCCACCUGAGCUCGGAGCGUUCUUUGUGGGAAUUUUGCAAACUACUAUGUUCAUUUCUUUAACCAAUAAAUACCCUCAAUUCCAAUUCAAUACCA